AUGGAAUGUAGAGUUGUACCAGAACUUGGCCAUGGGCAGCCAGCGACGCCACUGUCGUGGCGCGUCGUGCACCACGCACCGGAGAUACAUCUUCAUGCACUGGUUCACGCGCUCGCUCUGGCCGUCCGUCUGCGGGUGGUACGUGGUGGAGUAGAGCAGUUUGGUGCCCGCUCCGGCGAACAGUUGCUUCCAGAGGUUGCUGGUGAACACCUUGUCGCGGUCGGAGACGAUCGACGCAGGGAUGCCAUGGAGCUUCACCACAUUGUCCCAGAAGGCCUUUGCCACUUGCGGUGCGUGGAACAGGUGGCGCAGGGGCACGAAGUGGGCGAACUUGGUGAACCGAUCCACCACCACCAUGAUCGUGUCCGCGCCGUCCGACACGGGCAGCCCUUCCACGAAAUCCAUCGUGAGAUCUUCCCAUGGCGCGGUUGGUAUUGGAAGAGGUUCCAGGAGUCCUGCCGGCUUGCAGUGCUCGUGCUUCGCCUGCUGGCAGACAGUGCACUGCUGCACGAAUUCUUCGACGUUGCGCUUCAGCCCGCGCCACUCGAAAUGCUUGCGCACCCGCUGGUACGUCGCCGUGACGCCGGAGUGGCCACCCACUGCGCUGUUGUGGAGCGCGGCGAUGAGCUUGGUGCGGAGCGCAGCGUUGGCGCCGAUCCACAGACGACCUUGGCGGCGAAUGACACCGCGAUGCAACUCGUAGCCAUCAUCGUAUGGGCUGGCCAGGGCGAGCUUCUGGAGGCGAUCCUGUGCAUCUUGGUCCGUGGAGUAGGAGUUGAGCGCUUCCUGGAGCCAGGCCGACUGGCACGUCGAGAGCGCGGCCAGGUCGAGCUGCUUGCCGACGCGCGACAAGGCAUCGGCCGCGCCGUUGUCCAGCCCCCGCUUGUACUAAAACCGGAAUUGUAG
rnacentral:rRNA from 1 species